rnacentral:rRNA from 1 species
AAAUUGAAGAGUUUGAUCAUGGCUCAGAUUGAACGCUGGCGGCAGGCCUAACACAUGCAAGUCGAACGGUAACAGGAAGCAGCUUGCUGUUUCGCUGACGAGUGGCGGACGGGUGAGUAAUGUCUGGGAAACUGCCUGAUGGAGGGGGAUAACUACUGGAAACGGUGGCUAAUACCGCAUAACGUCGCAAGACCAAAGAGGGGGACCUUCGGGCCUCUUGCCAUCAGAUGUGCCCAGAUGGGAUUAGCUUGUUGGUGAGGUAACGGCUCACCAAGGCGACGAUCCCUAGCUGGUCUGAGAGGAUGACCAGCCACACUGGAACUGAGACACGGUCCAGACUCCUACGGGAGGCAGCAGUGGGGAAUAUUGCACAAUGGGCGCAAGCCUGAUGCAGCCAUGCCGCGUGUAUGAAGAAGGCCUUCGGGUUGUAAAGUACUUUCAGCGGGGAGGAAGGUGUUGUGGUUAAUAACCGCAGCAAUUGACGUUACCCGCAGAAGAAGCACCGGCUAACUCCGUGCCAGCAGCCGCGGUAAUACGGAGGGUGCAAGCGUUAAUCGGAAUUACUGGGCGUAAAGCGCACGCAGGCGGUCUGUCAAGUCGGAUGUGAAAUCCCCGGGCUCAACCUGGGAACUGCAUUCGAAACUGGCAGGCUUGAGUCUUGUAGAGGGGGGUAGAAUUCCAGGUGUAGCGGUGAAAUGCGUAGAGAUCUGGAGGAAUACCGGUGGCGAAGGCGGCCCCCUGGACAAAGACUGACGCUCAGGUGCGAAAGCGUGGGGAGCAAACAGGAUUAGAUACCCUGGUAGUCCACGCCGUAAACGAUGUCUACUUGGAGGUUGUGCCCUUGAGGCGUGGCUUCCGGAGCUAACGCGUUAAGUAGACCGCCUGGGGAGUACGGCCGCAAGGUUAAAACUCAAAUGAAUUGACGGGGGCCCGCACAAGCGGUGGAGCAUGUGGUUUAAUUCGAUGCAACGCGAAGAACCUUACCUGGUCUUGACAUCCACAGAACUUUCCAGAGAUGGAUUGGUGCCUUCGGGAACUGUGAGACAGGUGCUGCAUGGCUGUCGUCAGCUCGUGUUGUGAAAUGUUGGGUUAAGUCCCGCAACGAGCGCAACCCUUAUCCUUUGUUGCCAGCGGUCCGGCCGGGAACUCAAAGGAGACUGCCAGUGAUAAACUGGAGGAAGGUGGGGAUGACGUCAAGUCAUCAUGGCCCUUACGACCAGGGCUACACACGUGCUACAAUGGCGCAUACAAAGAGAAGCGACCUCGCGAGAGCAAGCGGACCUCAUAAAGUGCGUCGUAGUCCGGAUUGGAGUCUGCAACUCGACUCCAUGAAGUCGGAAUCGCUAGUAAUCGUGGAUCAGAAUGCCACGGUGAAUACGUUCCCGGGCCUUGUACACACCGCCCGUCACACCAUGGGAGUGGGUUGCAAAAGAAGUAGGUAGCUUAACCUUCGGGAGGGCGCUUACCACUUUGUGAUUCAUGACUGGGGUGAAGUCGUAACAAGGUAACCGUAGGGGAACCUGCGGUUGGAUCACCUCCUUACCUGAAAGAA